GACGAACGCUGGCGGCGUGCUUAACACAUGCAAGUCGAGCGGUAAGGCCCUUUCGGGGGUACACGAGCGGCGAACGGGUGAGUAACACGUGGGUGACCUGCCCUUAGCUCUGGGAUAAGCCUGGGAAACUGGGUCUAAUACCGGAUAUGACUCCAUGAUGCAUGUUGUGGGGUGAAAGCCUUGUGCGGCUAGGGAUGGGCCCGCGGCCUAUCAGCUUG
rnacentral:rRNA from 1 species